GACCAUAUAGCUCAGUGGUAAGAGCAUCAUAUACAGUACAUAUACAAGAGGUCUCAGGUUCAAUUUCUAGUAUGAUUA
rnacentral:tRNA from 1 species